AAAUCAGUUAUCGUUUAUUUGAUAGUACCUUACUACUUGGAUAACCGUGGUAAUUCUAGAGCUAAUACAUGCUAAAAACCCUGACUUCGGGAAGGGUGUAUUUAUUAGAUAAAAAACCAAUGCCCUCCGGGGCUCUUUGGUGAUUCAUGAUAACUUAACGGAUCGCAUGGCCUUGCGCCGGCGACGGUUCAUUCAAAUUUCUGCCCUAUCAACUUUCGAUGGUAAGGUAUUGGCUUACCAUGGUUUCAACGGGUAACGGGGAAUUAGGGUUCGAUUCCGGAGAGGGAGCCUGAGAAACGGCUACCACAUCCAAGGAAGGCAGCAGGCGCGCAAAUUACCCAAUCCCGACACGGGGAGGUAGUGACAAUAAAUACUGAUACAGGGCUCUUUUGGGUCUUGUAAUCGGAAUGAGUACAAUUUAAACCUCUUAACGAGGAACAAUUGGAGGGCAAGUCUGGUGCCAGCAGCCGCGGUAAUUCCAGCUCCAAUAGCGUAUAUUAAAGUUGUUGCAGUUAAAAAGCUCGUAGUUGAAUCUUGGGCCUGGCUGGCCGGUCCGCCUCACCGCGUGCACUGGUCUGGCCGGGCCUUUCCUUCUGGAGAACCUCAUGCCCUUCAGUGGGUGUGCUGGGGAACCAGGACUUUUACUUUGAAAAAAUUAGAGUGUUCAAAGCAGGCCUUUGCUCGGAUACGUUAGCAUGGAAUAAUAGAAUAGGACGUGCGGUCCUAUUUUGUUGGUUUCUAGGACCGCCGUAAUGAUUAAUAGGGAUAGUCGGGGGCAUCAGUAUUCAAUUGUCAGAGGUGAAAUUCUUGGAUUUAUUGAAGACUAACUACUGCGAAAGCAUUUGCCAAGGAUGUUUU
rnacentral:rRNA from 1 species